rnacentral:rRNA from 1 species
UACAGAGGGGGCAAGCGUUGUUCGGAAUUACUGGGCGUAAAGAGCGCGUAGGCGGUCUGUUAAGUGUGAAGUGAAAUCUCCAGGGCUCAACCCGGAAACUGCUUCGCAUACUGGCAGACUUGAGGAAUGCAGAGGUUUGUGGAAUUCCUGGUGUAGCGGUGAACUGCGUUGAGAUCAGGAGGAACACCCAUGGCGAAGGCAGCAAACUGGGCAUUAUCUGACGCUGAGGCGCGAAAGCGUGGGUAGCAAACAGG